rnacentral:rRNA from 1 species
CGCAAGCCUGACGGAGCAAGACCGCGUGCGGGAUGACGGCCUAAUGGUUGUAAACCGCUUUUCUCUGGGAAGAUGAUGACGGUACCAGAGGAAUCAGCCUCGGCUAACUCCGUGCCAGCAGCCGCGGUAAUACGGAGGAGGCAAGCGUUAUCCGGAAUUAUUGGGCAUAAAGCGUCCGUAGGUGGUUAUUCAAGUCUGCUGUCAAAGCGUGGGGCUUAACUCCAUAGAGGCAGUGGAAACUGGAUGACUUGAGUGCGGUAGGGGUCGAGGGAAUUCCCAGUGUAGCGGUGAAAUGCGUAGAUAUUGGGAAGAACACCAGUGGCGAAAGCGCUCGACUGGGCCUGCACUGACACUGAGGGACGAAAGCUAGGGGAGCG